CAGAGUUAUCUAACUCCCAAACCCAUGUGAACUUACCAUUGUUGCCUCGGCAGAGCCUACCUGGUACCUACCCUGUAGUGAGCUACCCUGUAGCAACCUACCCGGGAACGGUUACCCUGUAGCGUUUUGCCGGUGGACUUCUAAACUCUUGUUAUUUAAUAGUAAUCUGAGCGUCUUAUUUUAAUAAGUCA
rnacentral:misc_RNA from 1 species